rnacentral:rRNA from 1 species
GACGAACGCUGGCGGCGUGCCUAAUACAUGCAAGUCGAACGCACUCUCGUUUAGAUUGAAGGAGUUUGCUCCUGAUUGAUAAACAUUUGAGUGAGUGGCGGACGGGUGAGUAACACGUGGGUAACCUGCCCUAAAGUGGGGGAUAACAUUUGGAAACAGAUGCUAAUACCGCAUAAAACCUAACACCGCAUGGUGUAGGGUUGAAAGAUGGUUUCGGCUAUCACUUUAGGAUGGACCCGCGGUGCAUUAGUUAGUUGGUGAGGUAAAGGCUCACCAAGACCGUGAUGCAUAGCCGACCUGAGAGGGUAAUCGGCCACACUGGGACUGAGACACGGCCCAGACUCCGACGGCAGGCAGCAGUAGGGAAUCUUCCACAAUGGACGAAAGUCUGAUGGAGCAACACCGCGUGAGUGAAGAAGGUUUUCGGAUCGUAAAACUCUGUUGUUGGAGAAGAAUGUAUCUGAUAGUAACUGAUCAGGUAGUGACGGUAUCCAACCAGAAAGCCACGGCUAACUACGUG